rnacentral:lncRNA from 1 species
CCGCCUGCCGCUCACCGAAAAUCAUUUACGACGGUGGACGGUGGCCGAUCAACCCCAUAUUUACACCUUAGACUCCCCUUAACCUCCUCUUUCCGAAUAUCUAACUAGUUUUCAUCUAAUCCCCGCCAAACCUCUCGAAUCUGGAAUCGAAGAGAGACGGCCAAAACCCUAACUAACCCAAAAAUCCCAAAAGUUACACGCCGAACUCCCUAUUGUCUCCUCAUUACCAAUAUCCAUUUGGUUUUCCUCAAAUCUACGCCAAACCUUUCGAAUCUUGAAUCAAAGAAAAGGCCGAAUGAGUGGGAUUUUGAAGUUUUGAGUUUGGAAUCGAGUUCAGUUGUGUGUUCUCAUUUGAGAACACAUGAUUGAAGUUUAUUCUAGCCUCAAAUUCAUGGGUUCGUCGAGCGUCAGUUUCAAAGAGGGUAUCGUUAGUGUUGGGGAAGUAUGUCCCAUUCUCCUGGAUUUUCCAUUUUUGCUCUUUUUUUUGCUAUCCACCUCUGUCUUCUUCUUCUUCUUCUUUACUCUUUAUGUGUCUCUUUUCUGCGUGUGACCUUUUCAGUUUAGGUUAAUUAUCCCCUUUAGUUUUUUAGGUCGUUUUAAUAUCCAUAAAAUUCAUCUUUAAUUCAAAAAAGAAUUUGUUCAAAAUCGUUUGUGUGUUUAGUUUUGCAAUAGUUAUGUGUUCAUCUUGCAUUUCUUUUAGUCAGUAAUUUAGUCCCCAUUACUUUAGUAGCUUCAGUUUUCUAGUUUGAUUAAUCUAAUAGUUUAAUUGUUGAAAUUGUUUCCAUUUUUCUAUAGCAUUUCAGACUUUUGAUUAGGCUAAUGGCUUGUUUGAGCCUCGAUUUGUUUCUGGACAACUUAAGAAAAGAAGGGCAGGCCAAGUCGUGAAUUGGAUCAUUGGGUCAAAUUGACCCAUGUUCAUUUGGUCUGCUGAGGUAUAUAGAGAGGUAAUAGGGGUAAAAUAGGUAGGCAACCUAGAGAAUCUUUCCCUAUUUCUCUAGGAAGCUUCCUGGAAAGCUGAAAAUAGGCUAACUUAAUCCACAAGUAAGAAAAUCAGGGGCUAACUAGCAAAAAGGAAAAUUAAGAAAGGACUAAAAUGAAAAAACUAAACCCUUAAGUUGCCCUAGUAACUUGCCAAUAAAGGCAAAGUUACUUGAGUCUCAAUAGAGACUGAAAAGAAGAGCCGAAAAAAAUACAGAAAAAUGAAAGGGUUGAAACUGAAGCAAAAAUCACUGUUUCAUUGAAAUAAUCGAGUGAUUUUUUAAGUUCUCUUCUUCUUGAAAAGUUUUUUUGGUAAGUAUAGCUCAAAUGGAUUGAAAUUGGGUGCUUGAGUUUUUGGUUUUGAGGGUUUCUUUGGUAUUGGCUCGAGUGAGGUUGCCCUUUUAUUAUUUUGAACUUUAUCUGGUUGAGCUGCUUUCUGCUGGUGUUUGUGGCUGUUUUCGGUUGCUAAUCCCAUACUUUUGGCUUUUGACUUUUGACUUGACAUCUCUUUGUUAUCUUGUUCGAUUUUCAUGUAUUCCUUGAUUCUAUAGGAGACGAGAUGCAAGUAUGAAAGCUGUAAUUGCCUGAAGAUUUCAUGAAUAAAUGACUCUUUUCUUUAAUCCUCAAUGUUAAUUGUUUUCUUAGAAUUUCUGAAGUUAGUAAUAUAGUGUAAUAUUAUUUAACCUGGCUUGUUCAUAUUAAUAUAACAGUAGUAUUUUUAGGAAUUCCUGCUACCUCUUGUCUUGUUCGAAAAUUUGUGGUCUGAUAGUUUGGUUGGCAAGUAGUUCAGAACAUUUGAG